UGCAGUCGCACGAGAACGCUUCAGCUUGCUGAAGUUAGUAAAGUGGCGCACGGGUGAGUAACGCGUGGGUAAUCUUCCCCCGAAUUGGGGAUAACAUUGCGAAAGCGAUGCUAAUACCGGAUAACAUCUUAAGUACCCCGGUACCUAAGAUCAAAGGUGGCCUCUACAUGUAAGCUACUGUUUGGGGAUGAGCCCGCGUACCAUUAGCUUGUUGGUAGGGUAACGGCCUACCAAGGCUGCGAUGGUUAGCUGGUCUGAGAGGAUGAUCAGCCACACUGGAACUGACACACGGUCCAGACUCCUACGGGAGGCAGCAGUGAGGAAUUUUGCGCAAUGGGGGAAACCCUGACGCAGCAACGCCGCGUGAGUGAUGAAGGCUUUCGGGUCGUAAAGCUCUGUCAAGUGGGAAGAAACCACAUGGUGUUAAUACCACCUUGUGCUGACGGUACCACUGAAGGAAGCACCGGCUAACUCCGUG
rnacentral:rRNA from 1 species